AUUAUGUAAUUGGAGAAUAUUCCAUUGGUAGGUGUCUUAUACAAUUAAUAAGAUUAAUUUGUGAGAUUAGUUUUUUAUGAUCGUGAUAAUAUGUCCAAUAAUUUUUUACGAUGGUUCCUUAUUUUUGAGAGUUGUGGGCAUCACUGAAUGGUUUUUUGGGUUAUGAAAUUCUUCUUUGGAAUUCUAAGCUUAACCUUUAGGUGGGUUUUCCUGAAUAACCAUAGUAAAAAAGGUUAAAGAUGUAAAUUUGACUUGUCUAUUCGGACGGCCUGUGGCUCGGCUCGACCUCGAGCCGAUCAAGCUAGUGGCUUGAAGCACCAAGCCAAGGCUCGGGCCGAGCCUCAUUUUUGGGGAGUUGGCUCGAGCCGGGGCUGACCCGAGCCAACUAGUUAAAAAAAAAAAAACAAAAUGAAUUAUAAAAAUAUAUAGGUAUAGCUGCCUAAUUGUGGCAGUAGAUUUUUGCCGGUUAAGGCAAUUAUGAAGGGAAAAAUGAAAAAUUAAGCCGGCUCGGCUCGAUAAGUCCUGAGCCGAAAGCUCGAGUCGAGUCUCGAUUUUUUGGCCGAACUUUUGCUCGACUCGACUCUGCUUGGGCCACAAAAAGCCCAAGCCUCGAGUUUCGAUUCGUUGACAUCCCUAAAAGAGGUUCCCUCUCAUGGAAAUGGGAUCUACUUUUUCACAUCUCAUCAUAAUCCAUAUUAUAAAUGAGAAAUAAUAAUAAUAAUAAUAAUAAUAAUAAUAUAGAAUAACUAAUAAUAUAA
rnacentral:lncRNA from 1 species